GGAUUGUUGGGGGGUGGAGGGAAAUAACUAUUUCCAGCAUGCGUUGCGGAAUGAAAGGUCUUCGCCAUAGUGUUCCUUAGAAACUGUAGUCUUAUGGAGAGGAACAUCCAAUACCAAAGUGGGCACAAUUCUCACGGAAAUCCAUUGGAUAGAUUGGAGACCUGUGCGCGCUUGUACUUGUCAACAGUUAUGGAUUGGCGUGUUGGUUAUGUUUUCGUAUUUUGAAAGCAGAAACUAGGCCUAAAAAAGAUACCUACAACUCUUAGACUACAAUUCCCAUCCAGCCCCACGAGUCUGGGGCAAGUAGUCCUCUAAGGUCAGUGGCCCGCGGGGACGCAGUGAGCGCCGAAUUUGCCUGGGGAAGGGGCAAUCCGCUGUGGCCCAUGUCUGCGCACUCGUAGUUCCGCCCCUCAGCCCCAGUGUUUGUUAUUUUUCGGGUUCAGGUUGCUUUUGCCCCGUCUCCGUUGACGCAAUCGCCACCAGUCAAUGGGGGUGGUCGUUUUGAGGGACAAGUGGUAAGAGCCAAUCAUCUUGGCGAAAACGCGGAGAAACGGGACUAGUUACUGUCUUUAUCCGCCAUGUUAGAUUCACCCCACAGAGAUAGCGGCAGAGCUGGCAGCGGAUGGUCUUUGCAUUGGCGCCUCCCGGGGGGCGGGAAGCUGGUAAGGAAGCAAGCUGGGUUAGCUAGGGGUGGGGUCAGGUCACAGUAAGAGGGUUUGGAGAAGUUCAAGGGAGGAAUCCUGCAAAGAAGAAGGGCGACUUUUUCCGUGUCUCGGGACAGCUAAUCGUUUUAAGUGACAGGAUGAGAGAGCCCUUCGUGUUCUGAGGGACCGAGUGGGCGAAAAGUGCCAGAGAGGUGGAGAGUCUGUGGUUCAGAAUGAGAGGUGACAACGUGCUAGCAGCCCUCGCUCUCGGCGCCUCCUCGGCCUUGGCGUCCAUUCUGGCCAUGCUGGAGGAGCCCUUCAGCCCGCCACUGCGCUGUGGGGGCCCCUCUCUGGGCUGGCCGAGGCCGGAGCCGGCUCCCUCUGCUUGCAGGGAAGUGUGGAGGCAGAGGCGCGUGCGGGAACCGGGGCUGUGCGCAGCGCUCGCGAGCCAGCGCGAGUUCCGGGUGGGCGCGGGCUUAGCGGGCCCCGCACCGCCGGCCCCGGGCAGUGAGGGGCCUAGCACCCGGGCCAGCAGCAGCAGAGGGUGCGCCGGGUCCCCCAGCACUGCCGGCCCGCCUGCGCCCCGCUUGAAUUCUCGCCGGGCCCCAAUCGCCCCGCACAGGGCAAGGUUCAGGACCUGCAGCCCACCAUGCCCGAGCCCCCUCCCAACCCCGGUGAGCUCCAGCGAGGCCUUAGCCUCCCCGACGGGCGCCGCCCCCUGCUCCGCAGCGCCCCGUCCCGUCGACUGCCCAAGGGCUGAGGAGUGUGGGCGCCCAGCACGGCCCUGCGCAGGAUCCACUAGGUGAAGCCAGCUGGGCUACUGAGUCAGCCUUUAUCUGCUGGUAACACCCACCACGAAGUUCUGCAGCUUCACUCCUGAAGCCAGCGAGACCACGAACCCACCAGGAGGAAUGAACAACUCCAGACAGGAGGAACGAAUAAACUCCAGACCUGCCACCUUAAGAGCUAUAACACUAACCGCGAAGGUCUGCGGCUUCACUCCUGAAGCCAGCGAGACCACGAAUCCACCAGAAGGAGGAAACUCUGAACACGUCCAAACAUCAGAAGGAACAAACUCCGGACACAUCAUCUUUAAGAACUGUAACAGUCACCGCGAGGGUCCGCAGCUUCAUUCGUGAAGUCAGUGAGACCGAGAACCCACCAAUUUCGGACACAAGAACAUCCGGCUUCUACUGAUGGAAGGCCAUGACUCCUCAGUAGAAAGAGGGCCCAGGCAAAGAAAAUGAGAGAGAGUCUUCGGGGUGGUGACACUGUCUUGGGAACAUGGAGUGCUAGGAAACGAUAACUGGAAGACUAGGAUGAAGUCUGCAAGUUAAAAAAUAACACCACCCAUACAUCCUUCUCAUCCCAUCCUCCUUUUUUCGAGACCCAGCUAAAGAGAUCUUGGUUAGGGACCUUUGGUUUUGGAAAGGCACUGUUUCUCCUUUUUGUCAAACACUCAACUUUCAGGCCACACUUUUUUUUUCGAGACAGAUUCUCGCUUUCUCAAAGACCAGCCCAGGCUAGUCUUGAACUCCUGAGCUCAAGCGAUCUUCCUGCCUUGGCCUCCCAAAGUGCUGGGAUUACAGGCAUGAGCCACCGCUCCCGGCCUCAGGUCACACAUUUUAAAGCUUGGAUAACUUGGCUUGUACAGGCCUCUGGUGGAGACAGUAACCAAAGCUCAGGUUGCCAGGUUUGUUUCAUUAAAGGGAUUUUGUUGAGGCUGAAAGAAAAAAAAUUGACGUGGAGGAAAAGCUAACUUGUGCCAAGACAAGGUAAAAGUUUCAUUUGAUCUGAAUAGUAUUCAAAUAAAAUACCUGGAUGAGGAAAAUGAAGAGAGAUGAAGUCUCGCUCUGUCACCAGGCUGGAGUGCAGUGGCGUGAUCUUGGCUCACUGCAACCUCUGCCUCAGGGUUCAAGCAAUUCUCCUGCUUCAGCCUCCCGAGUAGCUGGGACUACAGACGUGCGCCACCACCAUGCCCAGCUAAUACUUUUUUUUUUUUUUUGAGAUGGAGUCUCGCUCUGUCACCCAGGCUGGAGUGUAGUGGCACGAUCUUGGCUUACUGCAAGCUCCGCCUGCUGGGUUCACGCCAUUCUCCUGCCUCAGCCUCCUGAGUAGCUUGGACUACAGGCGCCCACCAGCACGCCCAGCUAAUUUUUUUUUCUUUGUAUUUUUAGUAGAGACGGGGUUUCACUGUGUUACCCAGGAUGGUCUCGAUCCCCUGACAUCGUGAUCUGCCCACCUCGGCCUCCCAAAGUGCUGGGAUUACAGGAGUGAGCCACCGCGCCUGGUCAAUUAACCUCUUUUAAGCCGGUUUUCUCAUCCAUACAAUGGAGAUAAUGGCAGCACCCACUGCUUGGUAAGGAAUAUUAGGUGAACACAGGUGCCUAUAUGGGUUCCUCCAUUUUCCAUAAAUGUUAAUUCCCUUACCCCUCAUCUCCUAGGUUAGUCCCAGAGGACAGAUUUGAAGUUUGAAAACAGAAAGUAACUGCCAAAAGGGAUUAUUUAGGGUAGAGAUUCUCCCCUUUUAUUAUGCUUUAGGUCCUCAGUGGUGAGGGCAGGGGACAGGAGAAGUGGGAUCAAGCCCAGAUUCUUGGAUCUCAUCGUAGAGUGACUCUUCAGGGUUAGUGUGGGGCUUAGGAUUCUGCAUUUUGGACCUGUCCCCAGGGCAUGCUGAUGCCUGCAGUUCUCCUGUCUGGCUUUGAAUAACUCUGGGUAGUGCUUUAAAUCUAAGCUGACAUACCAGUGGGAUGUGAACUGUCCUUGCAAAUGUUUUGAGCCCUUCCUACGCUGGCCUCCAACUCUGCCUUGCUCAGUCUGUCUUCAGCUCCCCUUCCAUUCUGGCCUUUUCCCUUUCCUUUUUCACUUCCUUUUUUUCACUUACCUUUUUUUUUUUUUUGAGACAGGAUCUCACUCUGUCACCCAGGCUGGAGUGCAGUGGCAUGAUCUUCGCUCACUGCAAGCUCCGUCUCCCGGGUUCAAGCAAUUAUCAUACCUUAGCCUCCUGAGUAGCUGGGACUACAGGCGCACACCACCACACCCAGCUAAUUUUUGUAGUUUUAGUAGAGACAGGGUUUCACCAUGUUGGCCAGGCUGGUCUCAAACUCCUGACCUCAAGUGAUCCGCCUGCCUUGGACACUCAAAGUGCUAGGAUUACAGGCGUGAGCCACCGCGCCCAGCCUCCUUUUUCACUUCCUACCUUCCUCCCCACCUCUGGGUGUACCCUCCCCUGAGCUCAGCCUGUAUUUCUAUCUGCUGGCCACUUACCAGCCAGUCCCUUAAUCUACGAUGCCCUUUACUCACCUAGAAAGCUCACAUCAAAAGUCGCCUCCUCCAGAAUACCUCUCGAGUUCUCCUCUCUGGUCCCUUGACCCUUUGCAGGUACCUUUUUUCUUGUGCAAGUCACAUGAUAAUGUAAGGGUUUUUUAAUCCCAUCCGGAGCCUGCCUGGUGGGCUUAUGGUCCAUUUGUGGAAACAUGCAUUUCCCUCUCCUCCGCCCCCCUCCUUCAUGAUCCAUGCUUUAAGAGCUUCUCCAAGGCAUGCAGAGCAAGCUGAGAAGAGGUAGACAAGCCUGCAGACCUUUCAAAGAAGCGGGGUGGCUUGGGAAGUAAGAGAAGUCCUGGAGAUAGGGGCUCCUAAAAAGCAGACGAGAUUACCGAGGACUUCCCCACAGCUCCAGCACACAGCAGCUGCACAAAAAUGCAGUGGAAUUACUGAGGGACAUGUGCUUGAUGGGGGACAGGGAAUGCUUGUGUCAAGCCACCAGGGAUCAUGCUGUGCCAGUUGUGACCAGAUAGACUAUCCUUUUGCCAAGGUGGAAGGAUUUCCCUACUAAAUCCCUUACUUUCCACUUUGUUUAAAAUGAGUUUAACACCAAGAAAAUAGUUGUCUCUAUGUCCUUAUUUCUAAUCUUCCUGCUCAACCAUGAACUGCACUAAACACACUCAGACUCAUCUAACCUAAAAUUGAGAAAGGGAGGUUCUCACUCCUGGAGAGAGAAUUACUGAAAGGGCGGCCCUCAUACAGCUCAGGGUCAUACCCCCAAGAGCUGGUUUUAUAUGUGAAAGCAGGCACUGGGACCCUGACCUUUGCAGAGGUAAGGGGGACACUUUCCUACCCAGAGAGGCCAAAGGAGCACAGGACGCCCAGGCCGAGGGCAGUGAAGCUUGCAGACCCAGGCUGUGCAACCCCCAAAGCAGGUCUCCUCACGGGAUAGAUAGACUAUUGGCCCCAAUUCCUCAGCCCUACAUGCACCCACCGCUUGCCAUGGUUUCGUUGUGGGUGGAGGGUACUUCCGCAGCCCCUGGCUUUGGGCUUGCCCACAUGGCUUGCUCUGGCCAUGGAAUGAAGCACAAAGGAAAGCCUGCCAGUUCCUAACCCAUGCCUGAAGAAGCCCUAGGGGGUUUUGCGGGCCCCGUGCACUUCCACCUUCACCCAGAAGGCCUUCUCUGAUGCAGCCGCUGCUUCAGCCUCGGCCCAAAAGGAUCGGAGCCCCCUGGCCGAUCCGCAGGCCUGCAGGGAGCCACAGCACAGUGGCCGGCCCAGCGUUCAAGCCCAAGCACAGGCCUGCGAGAACCUUGUUCCAGCCACCGUUUGGGAUGGUUGAUUAGGGCACGUUGCUGUGGCGGUAGCUCACCAAUCCAAUGCGUGCACCCGCUCCUUUAUUAGGCUAUAGGGCCAGUGGCUGUGACAGGGACCUGAUAGAACAGUGUGUUAAAUAAGGAGCUUUUUUUUUUUUUUUUUUGAGACAGAGUCUCACUCUGUCGCCCAGGUUGGAGUGCUCACUGCAACCUCUGCCUCCUGGGUUCAAGCGAUUCUCCUGCCUCAGCCUCCCAAGUAGUUGGGAUUACAGGCGCCUGCCACCACGCCCAGCUAAUUUUUGUAUUUUUAGUAGAGGCGGGGUUUCACCAUGUUGGCCAGGCUGGUCUUGAACCCCUGACCUCAGGUGAUCCGCCCGCCUUGGCCUCCCAAAGUGCUGAGAUUACAGGCGCCUGCCACCACGCCCGGCCAAUAAGGAGCUUAUUGAGCUAUCAUGUCGUAAUCCGGUGGAGAAGUCAAGGGCUAGUGUAGGGGCUCUGGCGGAGACUGUAGCCUUCAUCCGCGUGGAACCUCCUGAUGGUUCGCAGGUCGCGGUCUUCGGAGCCUCCAGCCCCGUGAGCCCGAACAGUCCACAGGGCGGCGCCAGACCCUCUUCCCAACACCACCCUCUAAAGCCUCGGCUCCAACCGGUUCCACUUCUGCUUCAGGCUCAGGAUUUUCACUCUUCUCGAAUGUGGGUGGCCCUCCCCUGAUCUUCUGAAUCGCAACAGCAUCUCCCUCCCUCCAGGACCUCAGAGCCAGAGCUGGGCGAGAGGCCCUGACCUCCGGGGUAGGGUGGCAGCAUCCCUGUGAAGGUGCGGUCCUGGCUCCCAUCCCCAGGCGCCCGGCCUCUCCCACCCUUAGCACCCUGCUCACCUCCAGCUGAAGAUGCCAGGGCACCUCUGCUUCCUCCCUGCCCUCUGCAGUACUGCAGAGUGAACAUAAAAGGGCUUAAUACAGGCUUUGCCGGGCGCAGGGCUCCUGCCUGUAAUCCCAGUACUUUGGGAGAUCCUCAAGGCGGGAGGAUCACUUGAGAACAGGAAUUCAAAACCAGCCUGGGCAACGAAGUGAGGCCCGUCUCUAACAAAGACCAUGAGAAAUAAAUCUAGAAAUUGGAUAGACUGAAACAGGCAAUGAGGAAAGGAUUCCCUAUUUAAUAAAUGGCGUUGGGAAAACUGGCUAGCCAUAUACGGAAAACUGAAACAGGACCCCUUCCUUACACCUUAUACAAAAAUUAACUCAAGGUGGAUUAAAGACUUAAACAUAAGAUCUAAAACCAUAAAAACCCUAGAAGAAAACCUAGGCAAUACCAUUCAGGACAUAGGCAGGGGCAAAGACUUCAUGACUAAAACACCAAAAGCAAUGGCAACAAAAGCCAAAAUUGACAAAUGGAAUCUAAUUAAACUGAAGAGCUUCUGCACAGCGAAAGAAACCACCAUCAGAGUGAACAGGCAACCACAGAAUGGGAGAAAAUUUUUACAAUCUACCCAUCUGACAAAGGGCUAAUAUCCAGAAUCUGCAAAGAAUGUAAACAAAUUUACAAUAAAAAAUCAAACAACCCCAUCAAAAAGUGGGCAAAGGAUAUGAGCAGACACUUCUCAAAAGAAGACAUGCAGCCAACAGACACAUGGAAAAAUGCUCAUCAUCACUGGCCAUCAGAGAAAUGCAAAUCAAAACCACAAUGAGAUACCAUCUCACACCAGUUAGAAUGUCAAUCAUUAAAAAGGAAACAACAGGUGCUGGAGAGGAUGUGGAGAAAUAGGAACACUUUUACGCUGUUGGUGGGACUGUAAACUAGUUCAACCAUUGUGGAAAACAGUGUGGUGAUUCCUCAAGGAUCUAGAACUAGAAAUACCAUUUGACCCAGCGAUCCCAUUACUGGGCAUAUAUCCAAAGGAUUAUAAAUCGUGCUGCUAUAAAGACAAAUGCACAUGUAUGUUCAUUGCUGCACUAGUCACAAUAGCAAAGACUUGGAACCAACCCAAAUAUCCAUCAAUGAUAGACUGGAUUAAGAAAAUGUGGCACAUAUACACCAUAAAAUACUAUGCAGUCCUAAAAAAUGAUGAGUUCAUGUCCUUUGUAGGGACAUGGAUGAAGCUGGAAACCAUCAUUCUGAGCAAACUAUCGCAAGGACAGAAAACCAAACACCACAUGUUCUCAUUCAUAGGUGGGAACUGAACAAUGAGAACACUUGCACAUAGGGUGGGGAACAUCACACACCAGGGCCUAUAGUGGGGUGGGGGGAGGGGGGAGGGAUAGCAUUAGGAGAUGUACUUAAUGUAAAUGACGAGUUAAUGGGUGCAGCACACACACCAACAUGGCACAUGUAUACCUAUGUAACAAACCUGCACGUUGUGCACAUGUACCCUAGACCUUAAAGUAUAAUAAUAAUUAAAAAAAAAGAAUAAAA